AGUGAACGCUGGCGGUAGGCCUAACACAUGCAAGUCGAACGGCAGCACAGUAAGAGCUUGCUCUUACGGGUGGCGAGUGGCGGACGGGUGAGGAAUACAUCGGAAUCUACUUUUUCGUGGGGGAUAACGUAGGGAAACUUACGCUAAUACCGCAUACGACCUACGGGUGAAAGCAGGGGAUCUUCGGACCUUGCGCGAUUGAAUGAGCCGAUGUCGGAUUAGCUAGUUGGCGGGGUAAAGGCCCACUAAGGCGACGAUCCGUAGCUGGUCUGAGAGGAUGAUCAGCCGCACUGGAACUGAGACACGGUCCAGACUCCUACGGGAGGCAGCAGUGGGGAAUAUUGGACAAUGGGCGCAAGCCUGAUCCAGCCAUACCGCGUGGGUGAAGAAGGCCUUCGGGUUGUAAAGCCCUUUUGUUGGGAAAGAAAAGCAGCAGGUUAAUACCCCGCUGUUCUGACGGUACCCAAAGAAUAAGCACCGGCUAACUUCGUG
rnacentral:rRNA from 1 species